AUUAAGACUCUCGGCAACGGAUAUCUCGGCUCUUACAUCGAUGAAGAACGUAGCGAAAUGCGAUACUUGGUGUGAAUUGCAGAAUCCCGUGAACCAUCGAGUCUUUGAACGCAAGUUGCGCCCGAGGCCUUCGGGUCGAGGGCACGCCUGCCUGGGCGUCACGC
rnacentral:rRNA from 20 species